GCAGUGGUGGUUCAGUGGUAGAAUUCUUGCCUUUCAUGAGAGAGACCCAAGUUCAAUUCCUGGCCAAUACA
rnacentral:tRNA from 1 species